rnacentral:tRNA from 1 species
GGUAAUUGUAACUCAAUAGGUAGAGUGACUAUUUGUGGUGUAGUUGGUUCCCGGUUCAAGUCCGGGCAUUUACC